rnacentral:rRNA from 1 species
GAUCCUGGCUCAGGAUAAACGCUAGCUACAGGCUUAACACAUGCAAGUCGAGGGGCAUCAGUUUGGUUUGCUUGCAAACCAAAGCUGGCGACCGGCGCACGGGUGAGUAACACGUAUCCAACCUGCCUCAUACUCGGGGAUAGCCUUUCGAAAGAAAGAUUAAUAUCCGAUAGCAUAUAUUUCCCGCAUGGGUUUUAUAUUAAAGAAAUUCGGUAUGAGAUGGGGAUGCGUUCCAUUAGUUUGUUGCGGGG